rnacentral:rRNA from 1 species
UUACGGCUCAGUAACACGUCGAUAAUCUAACCUUAGGUCAGGGAUAACCUCGGAAACCUGGGGCUAAACCUGAUAUUCAAUACAAUCUGGAAAGGUGUAUUGGUGAAAGGUGACGCCUAAGGACGAGUCGGCGGCGGAUUAGGUUGUUGGCGGGGUAAAGUAUUUCGAAGAAACAAUAAAAAAUCUUCGAUUUUUAUAUGCCCACCAAGCCUUUGAUCCGUAGGGGCCGUGAGAGCGGAAGCCCCGAGAAGGGUACUGGAGCACUGACCCUAGCCCUAAGGGGUGCAGCAGGCGCGAAACCUUUACAAUGCACGAAAGUGUGAUAAGGGAAUCCCAAGUGCUCAUGCUUUGCAUGGGCUUUUGCCAAUAUUAAAAACCUUGGCGAAUAAGUGGUGGGUAAGACUGGUGCCAGCCGCCGCGGUAACACCAGCGCCGCAAGUGGGGACCACGUUUAUUGGGCCUAAAGCGUUCGUAGCUGGUCUAGUAAAUCUUCUGUGAAAUUGUUAGGCUUAACUUAACAAAGUGCGGAAGACACUGCUGGACUUGGGACCGGGAGGAGCUAGAGGUAUUCUGGGGGAAGCGGUAAAAUGCUAUAAUCCUUAGAGGACCAUCUGUGGCGAAGGCGUCUAGCCAGAACGGAUCCGACAGUGAGGAACGAAAGCUAGGGGAGCGAACCGGAUUAGAUACCCGAGUAGUCCUGGCUGUAAACACUGUGAGCUAGGUGCUGCGUAUUCUUGAGAAUAU